ensembl:rRNA 5S_rRNA 5S ribosomal RNA
AGGCAUAGAGAUCGUGUCCUGAACGCGCCCGAUCUCGUCUGAUCUCAGAAGCUAAGCAGGGUCGGGCCUGGUUAGUACUUGGAUGGGAGGCAUAGAGAUUGUGUGGAGUUUUAGUCUG